GACGAACGCUGGCGGCGUGCUUAACACAUGCAAGUCGAACGGAAAGGCCCUGCUUGCAGGGUACUCGAGUGGCGAACGGGUGAGUAACACGUGGGUGAUCUGCCCUGCACUUCGGGAUAAGCCUGGGAAACUGGGUCUAAUACCGGAUAGGAGCCAUUUUUAGUGUGAUGGUUGGAAAGUUUUUUCGGUGUAGGAUGAGCUCGCGGCCUAUCAGCUUGUUGGUGGGGUAAUGGCCUACCAAGGCGGCGACGGGUAGCCGGCCUGAGAGGGUGGACGGCCACAUUGGGACUGAGAUACGGCCCAGACUCCUACGGGGGGAAGCAGUGGGGAAUAUUGCACAAUGGGCGCAAGCCUGAUGCAGCGACGCCGCGUGGGGGAUGACGGCCUUCGGGUUGUAAACUCCUUUCGCUAGGGACGAAGCUUUUUGUGACGGUACCUAGAUAAGAAGCACCGGCUAACUACGUG
rnacentral:rRNA from 1 species